GAUGUACUCCCUCCGUCCCAAAAUUCUUGUCUUAGAUUUGUCUAAAUACGGAUGUAUCAAGUCACGUUUUAGUAUUAAAUACAUCCAUAUCUAGACUAAUCUAAGACAAGAAUUUUGAGAUGGAGGGAGUAUUCA
rnacentral:pre_miRNA from 1 species